rnacentral:lncRNA from 1 species
GACUGCACUUGGGCAGCACUCAGAACAGCCUCACAGAAGCAGACUUCCAAGAGCUUGGGAGGAAGACAGAUGGCUAUUCAGGAGCAGAUAUAAGCAUCAUCGUACGGGAUGCACUUAUGCAGCCUGUGAGAAAAGUUCAGUCGGCUACUCACUUCAAAAAGGUUCUGCUUCUACCCCAUGGUGAAAAGAAGUGGGAGCUGGAACCUGGAGACAGAGACUGAUGCAGAGACAUGGAGGGGUGCUUCUGACUGGCACUCCUUUCUAUAAGCACAGGACUUCCCACAGUGGGCUCGGCCCUCCCAUGCAGGUCCUAAUCAAGAAAUGUUCCACAGACUUGCCUGUAGGCCAGUCUGGGAAAAGCAUCUACCUUGUGUCAAGUUGACAUAAAGCUAACUAGCACAG